GAUGAAUAGUUUACUGGGAGUUCCUCACUGGGUACUGUCACUGCUCCUAAGCUGGGGAGGUGGGGGGGAAGACGGCCUGGGGCCCUGGCUCUCUGGUCUGUCAGGAAUGAGGGGCUGGGCCCCCAGUUGCAUGACAUCACCUCUUGUGGGCGGUGGACAGCUGCUGGGCAGCUGACUGGGCGGGGAGUGGCUGUUUUUCUUCGUGGCUCCUAUUGCCCGACCAUUUCCAUGGGACAGUGUCUGUGCAUGUUCGGGGACCUAGAGAGAGAAUCUAGCAGUAUGGUUGAUCUGGCACAGUCCAAAGAUCUGAUCCCAGGGGGUUUUGGAGUAGGAUCAAGGUAGAUGUUGCAGUUUAUUUGCAUUGAAUGUGGGUGGUCUCUGGGUCUAGUCCUGUUCAAAGGCCAGGGACCAUCUGGCCUCUUGGAUGAAAAUGGCAGGGGAUCUCUGGCAUGAAUGGGUUAGAGUGGCAGAAGGAAGGAAGGUUAAGUCUCCAGGUUUAACUUGUGUGGUAAUCAUGUCACAAUACAUACAUGUAUCAAUUCAGCACUUUGUACACCUUUGUUACAAUUUCAUUUGUCAAUCAUACCUCGAUAGAGUUGGGAAAAAAAUAAG
rnacentral:lncRNA from 1 species